rnacentral:sRNA from 1 species
AAUUGUGAGACUGGAGAGAAGACGGAGCUGUAGGGUU